AUGAUCCUUAAUGGUUUACUUUUCUCUGUCUUGCCACCUCAGAGUUCUCUCCUUGCUUGUCCAGCUGCAGGGAAGAUACUUUACCUGCUGUCUCUGCAGAAGAUGAUGCAAAAGAGAACCCAAGUCGAACAAAUCCAGAGGUUCUUCUGCAAAUACUGCGGACAUUGCUAUCUCCUGGCUCACAACGCUUUCUGCCACACUCAACAUUCACGAAACACCCGCAUCGCUCUACUGCCCUAAGAACCUGAAGAUCUGAAUAUUGUCCUCAUGGGGGCUCACGGUUUAGUAGAUGACAGUGAGUUUGACCGACAAACAGAAGCUCUCUUACUUAAGGAGUCACUGGACACACUUACAGGUGCUUAUGGUUGUUAACUGUCCUGUCACUGGGCAUAUGUGGGAUCACGACUUACACAAGACUUAAGCAUGGUGAAAUCCAGCAGAAGGGGGUUAAAUAAAGCAGGAAUUGCUUGAGACA
rnacentral:lncRNA from 1 species